ACGGGGGUGGGGGCAACUCCGCUUCAGUGGCGAACGGGUGAGUAAUGCAUCGGAACGUGCCCAGUCGUGGGGGAUAACGUAGCAAAGCUACGCUAAUACCGCAUACGAACUGAGGUUGAAAGCGGGGGAUCGCAAGACCUCGCGCGAUUGGAGCGGCCGAUGGCAGAUUAGGUAGUUGGUGGGGUAAAGGCUCACCAAGCCGACGAUCUGUAGCUGGUCUGAGAGGACGACCAGCCACACUGGGACUGAGACACGGCCCAGACUCCUACGGGAGGCAGCAGUGGGGAAUUUUGGACAAUGGGCGCAAGCCUGAUCCAGCCAUUCCGCGUGCAGGAUGAAGGCCCUCGGGUUGUAAACUGCUUUUGUACGGAACGAAAAGGCUUUCUCUAAUACAGAGGGCUCAUGACGGUACCGUAAGAAUAAGCACCGGCUAACUACGUGCCAGCAGCCGCGGUAAUACGUAGGGUGCAAGCGUUAAUCGGAAUUACUGGGCGUAAAGCGUGCGCAGGCGGUGAUGUAAGACAGGUGUGAAUCCCCGGGCUUAACCUGACUGCAUUUGUGACUGCAUCGCUGGAGUGCGGCAGAGGGGG
rnacentral:rRNA from 1 species